rnacentral:lncRNA from 1 species
AACUGUCACGACCCGACAAAAUAUCGACAAUAUUAAAAUUUUUUCCAACACAACUAACCCAGGAUCCAAACACACAUUUGAGGUCACUAAGAAAACAUUCAGAUCAAAAAUUUCACUUCUAUAAUCUACCAAUUCAUAACCCUGUGCAAUUCAUAAACAUAGCACACAUCACUCGAUAAUUCAUACAAUCUGAACUCGACUCAUCAAAAUAAAAACCACAAUAUAAAUCCACAUGUGGGGAAAUCUAUGCAGUCACCGCAAUCAUCGAUUUACCAUGAGUUCAUAUCAUUACACGAAUUUAAUUUAACAUUCCAAAACCCUAUACAUGAGGGAUCCUUUAACUUACACAAAAUCCACAGGUUUAGAUUCAUAGUCACAUUUCAUUAGAUGCAAGGUAGCUUAUACACAACUACAUAUAUGCUAACAAAAGUUCUGCCCAACGUC